rnacentral:lncRNA from 1 species
GCGGAAAGGAUUGAUGGUUCCAAUUAGUACAUCUUGGUGCCAGAACACAGAGUCAACCUCAUAAACUCACAUAUUUAAGUAUAUUAAUAAGACGGUUAAGUGAAAGAUAUUCGUAUUAUUAAAAAAAUGCUCCUUUAUCGUUUUUGGUAUGUAUCAUUUUAAAUUAAUCUUACUGAACGAGAUUAACGCUAAUAAUAUAAAUUAAUUGUUGUCAAAUAAUUUAAGGACGGAAUCAUUGUCAGAUUGAUUCUUCUUCAAAAACUAAAGCUAUCUCCUUAUAAGCUAUUGGGGAAUCUCUUUCAAACAUGGUAUAAAUGCGUCCAUGGCAUACUCGGAGCAAUAAUAGUAUAGCGAUCAAAGUUAAUAAUGAAGAUGCAUUUGCUUGUACUUAUAUAAAUUCUUAUGGUUGUUGAGAUAAGGGAACAAUUUUAUACUGAGUUACAUAUGUUCUAUCCUUCAUCAGUAUUCUCUACAAACGCGAAAAUUCCUUGUCCAUUUAAGCAAUUCGUAUUACAAAGCUCUAUGUUCAUAUUAUACGAAGGACGUUGAAAGUUUUUAAUUGAUUCUGACAAUGACUUACAGAUAGAAUAUGAUGGUUUGAGUUAUUGAAAAUGCUAAAUCGUCUUUUCAAGUAAUUGAUGAACUAAAACAGUUUCUUAUACAUUAUAUUUCAGAAAGUACUUUAAAGAUACUCUGCUUUCUUCCUUGUUUUUUUUUUUUUUUCUUUUUUUUUUUUUUUGGAAUACUAAUACCGAGAAAACUUUCGUCAAAUUUUAUGGGCCUAAUAAUAAUCUUAUGAAAUUAAGGUGCACUUAACCGAGCUAUACUUUAAAGAUUACAAUUAUCACAACUGAACACAACAUUAUAUUGUUGGGGUAAACCUUUAAAUUUCAUGCAUUUGAAGAAAAUUGAUUGCAUUAGCUUAAAAUAUAGCUCACUUAGUGACUGGAUGAUCAUCAUAAUAUUAUGUCGAGUUUUGUUUAUUAGUCUUCCACUGUGAGCUGUUCAAAACUAAGAUUAUUUAACGUAUUUUCAUUGGCAUAGUGUUGGAGGAAGUUAAAAAUAAUAAGCAAAGUAACCUCUGGAAGGAUAAAACUGUCUAUAAAAAUAGCAAUUACGCUACAAAAGUUUAUAGCUUUUACGGCUUUAAUGCUAUUCUCAUUUACAGGUACUAAGACUCCUUUGGAUGCUUAGUUACAGUGAUAGGGCAUAAUUAGAAUCUUCAAUAAAAUAGGGGUUUGAAAAACUAAACUACUUGUGAGAAAGAAUUAAGCCUUACGUCUCUUUGAGUGAAUUCCCUUUUCUGCUUUGUUAAUCCAUAAUCUGCUGUAUUUGACUUCAAAAUACAACUUUAAUUGAUUUACUUUUAAAAAGUUGAUUGAUUGGUAAAUUGAAAGUUUUUGCUGGACUUCUGCUUAUUUUCACAACAAUUAUAUUAUAAAGGGUUAAGUGGUGUGCAAUUGGUUUUUAAGAGUUUGAAGCAAGCUCCAUGUUAAUUCUAAUUAAAAUAAAAUAGAGUGAUUAAUUUUAAAUGGAACGGAGCAAUGCUAAGCUAAAUAUUGAAGAUUGGGUCUCGUUAAGAAAGGUUUGUGGUGCAAUUUGUUUACAAGGCUUUAAUGUGAUAAACGGUUGACGAAUGAAUGAAACCAAAUGGAAAACAACUUCCAAAAUAUUUAAUAAAUUUUUUAAAAUUUGUUUCGCUACGAUAGUCAAUGAAUUGACCCAAUGCAGGAGAAAUUUGUUGUUUCAGUAGCAUUUCUGGAUUUCGAGAAACAGAUACAUUUUAAUUAAUUUAAUGU